rnacentral:rRNA from 1 species
CCUANGGGGGGCAGCAGUGAGGAAUUUUGCGCAAUGGGCGAAAGCCUGACGCAGCGACGCCGCGUGGAGGAGGAAGGUCUUCGGAUCGUAAACUCCUGUCAGGAGGGAAGAAAAUCGGCGGAAUGAAUAAGUCCGUCGGUCGACGGUACCUCUGGAGGAAGCCCCGGCUAACUCCGUGCCAGCAGCCGCGGUAAUACGGAGGGGGCCAGCGUUGUUCGGAAUUAUUGGGCGUAAAGGGCGCGUAGGCGGCUUGGCAAGUCAGUUGUGAAAUCCCCCGGCUCAACCGGGGAACUGCGACUGAUACUGCCGGGCUCGAGUCCCGGAGAGGGUAGCGGAAUUCCCAGUGUAGCGGUGAAAUGCGUAGAUAUUGGGAGGAACAUCGGUGGCGAAGGCGGCUACCUGGACGGGUACUGACGCUGAGGCGCGAAAGCUAGGGGAGCAAACAGGAUUAGAUACCCCUNUANUC